rnacentral:rRNA from 11 species
ACUGAAACAUCUAAGUACCCGGAGAAAAAUAAAUUAGACUCCGUCAGUAGUGGCGAGCGAAUGCGGAAAAUACAAGACGGAUUUGGAAUGUCCGGCCGAAGAAGGUGAAAGCCCUAAAACUAACUGUGCAAAGUAAGGCCACGGGCCUGAAUAAGGGGAUACCGCUCUCCUCACAAUCAAACACAAGAAUACGAUAGUGUACUAGUACUGUAAAGGAAAGCUGAAAAACAACCCAUAAUCUGGGAGUUAAAAGAUGCUGAAACCCCAAAACGUUUCAGCCAUAUUGGCGUACCUUUUGUAUAAUGGGCUAACAACUUAAUGUGUGUAGCAAGCGUAAUGCAAAGGACGCGUAGCGAAAGCGAGUUUUAAAUGGGCGAAAAGUUACAUGCGUUAGACCCGAAACCGGGUGAUCUAGUCGUGGGCAGGUUAAAGGGUUGACUGAAGGACCGAACCCUAGGAUGUGGCAAAAUCCAGGGAUGACCUGCGGCUAGGGGUGAAAGGCCAAUCAAA